GCCUUCUUGGUGUAAUGGUCAAGCACGCUCGGCUUGUAUUCCAGAGGUCCGUGAUUCGAGUCCCGGCGAAGGCG
rnacentral:tRNA from 1 species